GUAGCAGGAACUUCCACAGGUUAGUAGGGACUUCCAUAGGUUAGUCGAGAUUUACACAAGUUAGCAGGGAUUUACACAGGUUAGCAGGGAUUUACACAGGUUAGCAAGGACUUCCACAGAUUAGCAGGGAUUUACACAGGUUAGCAGGGACUUACACAGGUUAGCAGGGACUUCCACAGGUUAGCAGGAACUUCCACAGGUUAGUAGGUACUUCCACAGGUUAGUAGGGACUUUCACAGGUUAGUAGGGACAUCCACAGGUUAGUAGGGACAUCCACAGGUUAGCAAGAACUUCCACAGGUUUGCAGGGACUUCCACAGGUUAGCAGGGAUUUACACAGGUUAGCAGGAACUUCCACAGGUUAGUAGGGACUUCCACAGGUUAGCAGGAACUUAGACAGGUUAGCAUGGACUUCCACAGGUUAGCAGGGAUUUACACAGGUUAGCAGGAACUUCCACAGGUUUGUAGGGACUUCCACAGGUUAGCAGGGAUUUACACAGGUUAGCAGGGACUUUCACAGGUUAGCAGGGACUUCCACAUUUUAGUAGUUAUUUACAUAGGUUAGCAGGGAUUUACGCACGUGCGCAGGGACUUCCACAGGUGAGCAGGGAUUUAUAAAGGUUAGCAGGAACU